AUGUGCAUGCCGAGCAGGCCUCACGCCAGUUUAGGGUCUCUGGUAUCUCCCGCUGAGCUGCUCUGUUCCCGGCUUAGAGGACCAGGAGAAGGGGGAGUUGGAGGCUGGAGCCUGUAACACCGUGGCUCGUCUCGCUCUGGAUGGUGGUGGCAACAGAGAUGGCAGCGCAGCUGGAGUGUUAGGAGGGCGGCCUGAGCGGUAGGAGUGGGGCUGGAGCAGUAAGAUGGCGGCCGGAGCAGUAAGAUGGCGGCUGGAGUGGUUUUUCUGGCAUUGUCUGCCCAGCUGCUCCAAGCCAGGCUGAUGAAGGAGGAGUCCCCUGUGGUGAGCUGGAGGUUGGAGCCUGAAGAUGGCACAGCUCUCGAUGUGCAUUUUGUAAGCACUUUGGAGCCACUAUCAAAUGCUGUGAAGAGAAAUGUACCCAGAUGUAUCAUUAUCCUUGUGCUGCAGGAGCCGACACCUUUCAGGAUUUCAGUCACAUCUUCCUGCUUUGUCCAGAACACAUUGACCAAGCUCCUGAAAGAUCGAAGGAAGAUGCAAACUGUGCAGUGUGCGACAGCCCGGGAGACCUCUUAGAUCAGUUCUUUUGUACUACUUGUGGUCAGCACUAUCAUGGAAUGUGCCUGGAUACAGCGGUUACUCCAUUAAAACGUGCAGGUUGGCAAUGUCCUGAGUGCAAAGUGUGCCAGAACUGCAAACAAUCGGGAGAAGAUAGCAAGAUGCUAGUGUGUGAUACGUGUGACAAAGGGUAUCAUACUUUUUGUCUUCAACGAAUUAUGAAAUCUGUACCAACCAACGGCUGGAAAUGCAAAUGAAUACCGAAUUGGAAAAACAGAUUUCUAAUGAGGCUGAUAGUGAAGAAAUGAAAAUGUCUUCUGAAGUGAAGCAUAUUUGUGGCGAAGAUCAAAUUGAAGAUAAAAUGGAAGUGACAGAAAACAUUGAAGUCGUUACACACCAGAUCACUGUGCAGCAAGAGCAACUGCAGUUGUUAGAGGAACCUAAAACAGUGGUAUCCAAAGAAGAAUCAAGGCCUCCAAAAUUUGUCAUUGAAUCUGUCACUCUUCCACUAGAAACCUUAGUGUCCCCACAUGAGGAAAGCACUUCAUUAUGUCCUGAGGAACAGUUGGUUAUAGAAAGGCUACAAGGAGAAAAGGAACAGAAAGAAGAUUCUGAACUUUCUACUGGAUUGAUGGACUCUGAAAUGACUCCUACAAUUGAGGGUUGUGUGAAAGAUGUUUCAUACCAAGGAGGCAAAUCUAUAAAGUUAUCAUCUGAGACAGAGUCAUCAUUUUCAUUAUCAGCAGACAUAAGCAAGGCAGAUGUGUCUUCCUCCCCAACACCUUCUUCAGACUUGCCUUCGCAUGACAUGCUGCGUAAUUACCCUUCAGCUCUUAGUUCCUCUGCUGGAAACAUCAUGCCAACAACUUACAUCUCAGUCACUCCAAAAAACUGGCAUGGGUAAACCAGCUAUUACUAAGAGAAAAUUUUCUCCUGGUAGACCUCGGUCCAAACAGGGCCAUGGGUCUGGAUUUCCAAGAAAGCGGAGACCUCGAGGUGCAGGACUGUCGGGGCGAGGUGGCCGAGGCAGGUCAAAGCUGAAAAGUGGAAUCGGAGCUGUUGUAUUGCCUGGGGUGUCUACUGCAGAUAUUUCAUCAAAUAAGGAUGAUGAAGAAAACUCUAUGCACACUACGGUUGUGUUGUUUUCUAGCAGUGACAAGUUCACUUUGAAUCAGGAUAUGUGUGUAGUUUGUGGCAGUUUUGGCCAAGGAGCAGAAGGAAGACUACUUGCCUGUUCUCAGUGUGGUCAGUGUUACCAUCCAUACUGUGUCAGUAUUAAGUGCCUUCCUCAGACUGCUGUGGAUCUUCACUUGUAGCACAAAUUGUCACAAAAGUAAAAAAGCUAGACCCACCCAAGACUUAUACCCAGGAUGAUGUGUGUUUGAUUGAAUCAGGGAUGACUCAGUUACAGAGCCUCACAGUUACAGUUCCAAGAAGAAAACUGUCAAAACCAAAACUGAAAUUGAAGAUUAUAAAUCAGAAUAGCGUGGCCGUCCUUCAGACCCCUCCAGACAUCCAAUCAGAACAUUCAAGGGAUGGUGAUAUGGAUGAUAGUCGAGAAGGAGAACUUAUGGAUUGUGAUGGAAAAUCAGAAUCUAGUCCUGAGCGGGAAGCUGUGAAUGAUGAAACUAAGGGAGUGGAAGGAACAGAUGGUGUCAAAAAGAGAAAAAGGAAACCAUACAGACCAGGUAUUGGUGGAUUUAUGGUGCGGCAAAGAAGUCGAACUGGGCAAGGGAAAACCAAAAGAUCUGUGAUCAGAAAAGAUUCCUCAGGCUCUGUUUCUGAGCAGUUACCUUGCAGAGGUGAUGGUAUAGUACUGACUUAAAAUUUUUUUUUUUUUAUGUAACCCCUUGGUCUUGAUAUUUCUAUUGGAAAGAACUAUCCUAAAUAAUGUUACAGUCAAUAAGAGCCUUAUUGCCUCUUAUUGUUACUCAAUAAGAGUCUUAUUGCCUUUUAUUGAUGAAAGGAUUUGAGUGCAUAUAGAGUUCAUAUCUGUAAUACAGCAAUCAGGUUUUAUAAGGAAAUGGUUUAAAUCCAAUAGACUUUAUUCUUUUGAGAUUUUUUGACAAGCUCUUUUUUCCUGUAUCAAAUUAUUAAAUAUAUUUUCUAUAUUUAAAUAUAAAUGGUUUAGGGACUGAAUAACUUAGUUACAUAAAGUACUUUAUGGUCAUCUCCAAAGCCUUUCUUUGACUGCCUUAGCUACUUAUCAUAUAAUUUGAAAUUCUCAAGUGACAGUGCACCUCAAUUUUUAUGUAUGUAUGUAUGUAUGUAUGUAUGUAUGUAUGUAUGUAUGUAUCUAUCUGUCUAUCUGUCUAUCUAUCUAUCUAUCUGCCUAUCUUAGGGUCUCACUAUGUCAUCCAGGUUGGCGUGCAGUGGCACAAUCAUGGGUCACUGCAGCCUUGCACUCCUGAGCUCAGGCAAUUCUCCUGUCCUCAGCCUCUGAUGUAGCUGGAGACCACAGGCACACAACCACCAUGCCUAGCUAAUUUUUUGGCUUUUUGCAAAGACAGGGUCUCACUUUGUUGCCCAGGCUGGCCUAGAACUCCUGUGCUCAAGCGAUCCUCCUGCCUCAGCCUCCCAAAGUGCUGGGAUUACAAGCAUGAGCCAGCCACUGCGCUCAGCCCUCUUCUUACUAUUAUUAUUAUUAUUGUUAUGGUUGUAGAAGUAACCUGAAAUAGAGAUACAUUUAAAUAUCUGAGUGAGUGAUUUCAGCAAAGGAGAGAGACCCUGUGUUACUAUUUUAGGAGUGCUCUUGAUUGUGUGAACCCGUUGAAUACACCACUUACUAACCGAGCCCGGCCAUUUUGCUCAGAUUAUUCAGAGCUCUCAGGCCCAUUCAGAAUGAAAUUCAAAAUCUUUACCAUGGCCAGAAAGAUCCGUGCAAUCAAGAUGCACCAUCCCCAUCCUAAUUUCCGGGCUUGUCGCCACGCCAGCCACAAUGCCAUGCUGGCCUCCUUGCUGUUCUUUGAGACACUGGGUGCACUUUGCUUCAAGGACUUCGCUUGCCUGUCCCUGAACCUGGAAUGCUCUUCCCCUAGAACUCCUUGUGGCUGCCACUGUCACCCCCUUCAGAUCUUUAUUUAGAUGUGUCUAUGAUGAAGCCUUUCAGGGCCGAUCUAUUUAACAUUUCCCUCACCACCCCUCCACUCUGUAGCCCCUUUGCCCCUUGUAUUUUUCUCCAUAGUACUUAUUAUAAUAUCUAACACACUAUAAUAUCAAAUGUUAACUCCAUGAGGAUAGGCAUUUUGAUCUAUUUGGUUCCCUGCGGCAUCUCCAGCACCUAGAACAAUGCCUGGUGUACAUAGUGGGUGCUUAUUAGGUACAUGUCACAUGAAAGAGGAAAAAAACGAGUGUAUUAAAGAAUCCAGGAGCCGGGCGAGGUGUGUCAUGCCAGUAAUCCUAGCACUUUGGGAGGCUGAGGUGGGUGCAUCGCCUGAGUUCGAGCCCAGCCUGGCCAACAUAGUGAAACCCCGUCUCUACUAAAAAUACAAAAAUUCAGCUGGGUGUGGUGGCAGGUGCCUGUAAUCCUAGCUACUAGGGAGGCUGAGGCAGGAGAAUCGCUUGAACUGGGGAGGCAGACGUCGCAGUGAGCCAAGAUUGCGCCAUUGCACUCCAGCCUGGGCAACAAGAGUGAAACACUGUCUC
rnacentral:lncRNA from 1 species